CACUAAUCCUUCAGAGCAAAUCUUCUCAUUGCUAUACUUUGACUAACUUGUUGCUGUGAACAGGACCUGGAGAUGCAGUACAACAGACUGUUUCACUCAUAAGUCUAAAGCAACUUGGAGAGGUGCUGAAACAGCCCACUGAGGGUAGAAAGGGGAGUGAAUGUGCAUCCUGUGGUUGGAAAAGGAUGGUACUGAAGGUGCAGGCAAGCUCCAAGUUCUUCACUGUUCAAUACACAUUGGCUGGUUUUACAUGGCUCUGUCCUCACACAACAGCAACGGAAUGGAAGAACAUUUAUCUCAUCUCACACAGAAGGUCUGUGAAGGAAUGCAAAUUCUGGACACUACUGAUAGUCUUCUUUGAAAGCAAGAACAAGUAUGGCUUGGAUAGGAAGAGACUGGACCUGGAAUUCCCCAGAAGAACAACAAAAGCCUCUAGCAAGACAAAAUGCAAGGUCCGUUCUCUUUCUAUGGCAAGGGAUUUCUUGGUAGCACAGCUUGCCGGAGUUAUUUCGCCAAAACCACAAUUGCCCAUCUGAGUGCCUUAGUGCUUGGAGGUUUUCAAGAGAGAGAGAGAGAGAGCUAUCCUGUGUUUUAAUUGAAGUUCCUGCUUUCAGGCAGCUUGUGUUUGGGGAGCCACCAUUGGAUAGAAUAAUGGAGCUUCCUAUGUCUAGGAAAGUACCUCUGCAAUUAGAGGGACCAGAGGUAAAAAUGGAAUUCUCAGUGUUUUAAGUGGACACCUGAGCCAACUGCAGUGUGCCUCAGGAGGCCAACAUAUCACCUCUGCAUGCAGAGAAGGGCUUGGCU